GGCCCACCUGGGUUUGGCACCUGCAAGAGACUUCCCUUCAGGAGCUAUGACCAGUAGGUGUUGAUAUUGACCUAUGAAACCCUACCUGAAAGAUCACCUUUCUCCUCAUGCAAUAUUGCCACAACUGCAGUCAACGCAGUCCGUCAAGUAUGAACACUAUCAGUAUAAGAGAGAAGGAAUGGCAGUGUCUGUCAGAGGACCUCAGCUUCGGAACAUACUCAGUCCAAAAUUACCCAGAAGUCUGAUCUUCAGGAAAUGUUGCAAGCUCCAUCUAAUUACCCAUGCUUUUGGGGAGCAAUGCUGCAGUCACAGCAGCACAAAAUAUUUAAAAAAAAACACUCUGCAGGAUAAUACUGCCUGUACUAAGCUGAAAAUGAGCCAGAACUUCCCAG